rnacentral:snoRNA from 11 species
GGCUAUGAGGAAAUCGGUCUUAGCUGAGCUUAUGAUGAAAGUGGUCACCGCCGAGC